rnacentral:lncRNA from 1 species
CUGGAAUGAGUCAUCCUUUGGGUAAAACUUCUUUCCAAGCAACAGUUCUUCAUGGUGGAGCUGGAGAUGAUUUUAAUUCAGGUGGAGACAAGAAACAUUUGAAUCAACUCGUCUGGGAGCCACAGAGAAAAGGCCAACGUUGGACACAUGGUUUUGAGUGCUUCCUGCUUCCUGGGACAUGGGAUGCAAGUGAUCAGAGCUAACUCUGCAGCUGCACUUCUAAAGGACAAGGAAAAACAUCUGCCUUUUACUUUCUUUGGUUUCCCAGCAUCUUAAAUACAGUCAGGAUUUGUCUCCAGUUUGUCUCCUCACUGGUGAUCUGAUCUACUAGAGACAAAAAGCAUUGAAUUUUGGGGGGGUCUUAUUUGAGUAAUUUAUACCUUUUGAUGGUUUUAUG